rnacentral:lncRNA from 1 species
AACCCAACCCCAUCUCCAUGUAGGGUCUCCUCAGAAAAGAGUAAGAUCACAGCUCAGAUUGGAAGAUGUCCUGGGUUUCCUGGGGCUCAGAAGCCCAAGAACCAUACAGCUCUUGAGGUGGGGCAGUGUCUCAAUGGAAGGGCAUCCUGAGUCAUGGAGGCCCAGGAAGCAUACAGCUCUGAGAGGAAGCCUCUUCAUCAAAGGCAUUGCAGCUCCCAGGGGAGGAUCCCAGUUGAGCUAAAGAACUCAGAAGUCUCA